UAUGAAUUUUCAGUAUCGUAUUAAUUAAGAGCUUAUUUGGCUGUAUAUUAUUAUUAUAACUGCACUGCAAUUAUAAUUAUAUAUAUAAAUUCAAAAUUUUGUAUUUAAUUUGACAGUGGAAACUACUUGAGGAAGCCUCAGUACGAUAGUUGGAGAUGGUAAAUUUUAAACAAAAAAUAAACAUAUAUUUCUAAUCACUUUUUAAAUAAUUUUUUGGCCAAUUUGCAUAAAAAAUCCACUAAUUUUGCGCUUUUGCAAAAGUGGGCCACCUUUUUAGUUUUUGCAGAUUCGGACCGAAUUUUCAGAAGGAUGACCAAACUACCCUUCUGUCAAAAUGCAUAAAAAUUAUAUGCUUUAAAUGCCUAGAAAAUAUAACUGUUAAGUCACUAAGUGUAAAACUUCUUGAAAUAACAACUACUAAGUCAUAAUUACAUAUACCUUUCUCGUGAAACGAAAAACCUCAUUCAAGAGAAAAUUAAAAAAAAGAAUAAUUAAUAAGAUAAAAGAGUGCAACAUCCUCUCAAAUAGUGCAACAAACUCUUCAAAAUAGUGCAAUAUCUGUAUAAGUAGUGCAACAUAUGCAUUGUUAAUACACAUUUUGCAUAAUUUUUACACUAAAUUACGCAUAAUUUAGUAUAUUACGAAAAAAUAAUAUAUAAUAUUACAACAUACUAUAAAAAUUAUACAAUAUAUGUAUAAACGGUGCAUAUUUUACACUAUUUGUACAGAUAUUUACACAAUUUGUGUAAAUGUUACACUAUUAUGAGAGGAUAUUGCACCAUUUAGAUGUGUGUUACACUCUUUCUUUUUGAAAAUUAAAUUUCAUUCCAUAUUAAAUAAAGUGUAAAAUUUCUUGGAAAUGACAACUGCUAAACCAUAAUUACAUGCAUGUACCUUUCUCGUGAAACAAGAAAUCUCAUUCAAGAAAAAAUAAAAAGAAUAAAGAAUAAUUAAUAAAAUGAAAGAGUGCAACAUCCUUUCAAAUAGUGCAACAAGCUCUUCAAAAUAGUGCAAUAUCUGUAUAAAUAAUGCAACAUAUGCAUUGUUAAUAAAUAUUUUGUAUGACUUUUACACUAAAUUACGCACGGUUUAGUAUAUUACGCGAAAAUAAUAUAUUAUAUUACAACAUACUAUAAAAAUUAUACAAUAUAUGUACAAACGGUGCAUAUUUUACACUAUUUGUAUAGAUAUUUACACCAUUUGUGUAAAUAUUGCACUAUUAUGAGAGAAUGUUGCACCAUUUAGAUGUGUGUUGCACUCUUUCUUUUUGAAAAUUAAAUUUUAUUGCAUAUUAAAUAAAAUAUAAAACUUCUUGGAAAUGACAAUUACUAAGCCAUAAUUACAUGCAUGUACCUUUCUCGUGAAACGAGAAAUCUCAUUCAAGAGAAAAUAAAAAAAAUAAAGAAUAAUUAAUAAGAUGAAAGAGUGCAAUAUCAUCUCAAAUAGUGCAACAAUCUCUUCAAAAUAGUGCAAUAUCUGUAUAAAUAGUGCAACAUAUGCAUUGUUAAUACAUAUUUUGCAUGAUUUUUACACUAAGUUACGUAUAGUUUAGUAUAUUACACAAAAAUAAUAUAAUAUAUUACAAUAUAUUAUAAAAAAUUAUACAAUAUAUGUACAAACGGUACAUAUUUUACAUUAUUUAUACAUAUAUUUACACCAUUUCUGUAAAUGUUGCACUAUUAUGAGAGAAUAUUGCACCAUUUAGAUGUGUGUUGCACUCUUUCUUUUUGAAAAUUAAAUUUCAUUGCAUAUUAAAUAAAGUAUCAAAUUUUUUGGAAAUGACAACUGCUAAGCCAUAAAUUACAUGCAUGUACCUUUCUC
rnacentral:lncRNA from 1 species